rnacentral:rRNA from 1 species
CGGCCUCGGGGGCAGCAGUAGGGAAUCUUCCACAAUGGGCGAAAGCCUGAUGGAGCAACGCCGCGUGGGUGAUGAAGGUCUUCGGAUCGUAAAACCCUGUUGUUAGAGAAGAGAGUGCGUGAGAGUAACUGUUCACGUUUCGACGGUAUCUAACCAGAAAGCCACGGCUAACUACGUGCCAGCAGCCGCGGUAAUACGUAGGUGGCAAGCGUUAUCCGGAUUUAUUGGGCGUAAAGGGAACGCAGGCGGUCUUUUAAGUCUGAUGUGAAAGCCUUCGGCUUAACCGGAGUAG